GCCCAUGUCCCCAAAAUGAAUUUGGAUGAACUUUUCGAGCAAAAGGAUGAAGUUGCUAAGGCUGUGUUGGAGGAACUUGAGAAGAACCUUAUGACAGUGUCCUUCCAUCCCCUCCAGCGCCCCACAAAAAGGAAAAAUAUUACAAAAGGGAAAAGGGGAUGCUACUGCAGUAACUUCUGAGCUUUGGUCUGGUGUGUGUUCUAGUACUUUCUUCUCUGUUCUUUAGUAUGUCAUUGAAAAAUGUUUAAAGUUGAUCGUGAAUAAGCUUUAUUUGUUUUAGUAUAUAUUUACUGGUCAAAUAGAAAUUGAGGUGAACCCACUGUAUGGUGGUUGUUGCCCCCCCCCCCCCCC